GAGAUGAUUGAUAUCCUUAAUAA
rnacentral:siRNA from 1 species